rnacentral:misc_RNA from 1 species
UGUGGGAGGGGGCUUGCCCCCGAUGGCUUGGUGUCAGUUGAUACAGCUGUAGCUGACCCACUGCCAUCGGGGGCAAGCCCCCUCCCACA